CUCUACCAAAUGCCCUUCCAUCGGUGGAACCGCUUUUCCCCAUGUGGCCCAAGAACCUCCCGGACCCAACUCUGUUCCUGAGGAUUCACUUUUCCCACAGAACACCGCCAGACCUCCAGCAGCCAGG